rnacentral:rRNA from 1 species
AUUGAACGCUGGCGGCAGGCCUAACACAUGCCAGUCGAACGGUAACAGAAAGCAGCUUGCUGCUUUGCUGACGAGUGGCGGACGGGUGAGUCAUGUCUGGGAAACUGCCUGAUGGAGGGGGAUAACUACUGGAAACGGUAGCUACUACCGCAUAACGUCGCAAGACCAAAGAGGGGGACCUUCGGGCCUCUUGCCAUCGGAUGUGCCCAGAUGGGAUUAGCUAGUAGGUGGGGUAAAGGCUCACCUAGGCGACGAUCCCUAGCUGGUCUGAGAGGAUGACCAGCCACACUGGAACUGAGACACGGUCCAGACUCCUACGGGAGGCAGCAGUGGGGAAUAUUGCACAAUGGGCGCAAGCCUGAUGCAGCCAUGCCGCGUGUAUGAAGAAGGCCUUCGGGUUGUAAAGUACCUUCAGCGGGGAGGAAGGGAGUAAAGUUAAUACCUUUGCUCAUUGACGUUACCCGCAGAAGAAGCACCGGCUAACUCCGUG